AUAGAGGAUGCAAGCCACAGGAAUUCCCAUAGCCUUUGUGUGUGUGUCUGUCUUCUACCUGGAAUACAAGCAAGGUCCGUGGUCCUGUCAGUGGAAGUCCGGAUAGCAUGAAUGCCUCUCGACUUAGCCAGCCUGGGCAGCUGAUGUCUCAGCCCUCCACGGCCUCCAACAGCUUACCUGAGCCAGCCAAAAAGAGUGAAGAACUGGUGGCUGAAGCACAUAACCUGUGCACCCUGCUAGAAAAUGCCAUACAGGACACC
rnacentral:sRNA from 1 species